GGCAGGACAGGGCAUCUGACCCUGCCCAAGGGCCUGGCAUGGCGAGGGGUCUCCUCCUGGUCCCCGGGCAGAGGGGACGGCCACAGAGAGCCCCCCAGAGACAGCCCCUCAGCCCUGUGCAGGAAAAGCACCUUUUUAAUGUUCCUUACCUCGGUUUUCCUUCACUCAGGAGUGCACCAGGGCCUUCCUCCUGAAGGCAGCUCUGGUAAUAGCAACGAGCUGACCACAAAUGGCGUUCGGGGAGUUACCUCAGGAGCUAUUAGUGAAGAGUGACCAAUCUCCUUGCCACUGAAAGAGAAUAGGAUUCCCUCUCAGCAGAAUGGAAACAUGCCUUCCUUGUCCUGGUAACCUCCUAACCCUCUCAAGUCUUCUGCUCUCCCAUUUUCCCAGCUAAACUCCUCCAACACAAAGAAGAUUUAAUUCAUAGUCUGGAUAGCACACAGAGAAAUAUCCUGCUCUUCUGGCUCUUCAUACAAAAAAUACUCCUGCUCAGUUGCUUGAGCCUGUUGGGUUCCUGAAUGUCUGAAGAUGGGACUCAGCAUGCAAUUGUCAAGUCAGGAAACUCUCCAGGAGAUUUAUUGCUGCAUUAUCAGAGGAUCAGGGCUCUGCUGAAUGCAGCUUGGAAGAAACAAGCCAUGUCCUGCCCUGGAAACAUAUAGGCUAAAUAAACAAAUUGAGGGAGGAAAAUAGGAGUCUAGGAAGGUGAAGGUUACAAGAGGAGUGAUACCAUUCCUGUCUUCCAAGAAAGGUGUCCCAAUUCAUUGCACCCAGCUUAGAAGCUGCUUUACCAACAGCAUCUGCAGCAAAGAAAUGGACAGAAGUCUGCAUCACAAAGACUACAUGAGAAUGCAUGGGACUUUUGAACCCUAAGCAUUAAAAACAAAAUAAAAAUGCAGUGUUGUUUGCUGUUUGCCACAACAGUAAACAGCAGAGAAUAUGGAUCUCUCUGUACCUCCAUAGCCAGUCAGAAGGCACAAGAGGCAAGCAAAGCACAUCAUUUCCAAAAGGGACGAGUUUUAACAGGCCAGGAAAGUACUACAAGCUUUGAGUCCAGAAUCUCAAACAAAACAAUCCAGGUAAAGUAAGUUUCUAGCAGUGGUCAGUUCCUGCCAUGGGGAAGGCACAGCUCUGCACAUCCCUGGAGUGAGGCAGCCCUGGCUGGUACCCAUGGAGCUCCACAAGGAACUGCACACACUCCGCUCUCUGCAGGAACGAGAGAUUUCUGACUGCCUUCAAUAACAAGCAUCCUCCAGCCACCACUUAAUGCAAUAAAGUGAAUUUCAUUUUGGCAUAAGAAAAACCAAGGGAACAACAUGAUGUAUUGGCAAAAUUUUAAUAAUAAAAGGCCAAAGAGCCAGCUUAAAAGAGUUAGGCUGUUAUUAAUCGGGUCAUAGUGAUGCAGCAUUUCAAAACAGGCUUAACACCUGCUAAUUUCAUUUCAGUGCUGCUGAAGCUGAGUCAGCUAACAAAGCCUCUUCUGGAUCAAGCACGUUCAGAGCAGUACAGCAGUUCCUUGCCUUCAUGAAAGUGCUUCCUCUCUUUGGUAAGAGCACUAAGAGGGAAGAGAGGAGAAAGGAUGAUCCCCUCCCUCCUUUAAGCCUGCCUGUGCAGCCAGAGCUGAGGGGAAGGAGGAUAAGAAGCAUCAUGGUAUUGAAGAAAAUCCCUUAGAUAAGGGCUAUUAUAUUUGCUACACUGGUGAAAAUGAGGGAGUGUUUCCCUUUCCCUCCAAAUGGGCACUGAAGCAGCCCGAGUUUCCCAGAGCAGGUCAGUGAGAGCAGACACAGACCCAGGCCCUGAUCCCUGCUACUGCAGCACACCACACUCUCAUUGCCCUCUAACCCUCUCUUAAGAAUUAUCUUCUUGUUGCUCCAGUUACCUUUGCCCUGCCCUUGGCUUUGGGAAGACAAUAUUGAUCCCUGGAUUGCUGAAGUAAAAGCAAGAUCCUGAUGUGAAGGCAGCUGCCCUAGAAAUGGAAUGAAAACUGACACAUCAACCAAGCAGUGUGGAAGCACCCAACCACUUCUUCCACUACCCACAACCAGCUCAGCAGGGAAAAUUCCAGUGGGACCAGGCAGCCCUGGGCAACAAAAUUGGUUCCUUUCUUCUUUAUGAAGGGAACUGCGGAUGGGAAUAUUCCAUUCAUAGUAAGCUCUGAUCUUAUCAAGAAGCCCAGGUCUGAGAGAAGUUCAUCUGUUCCAGAGAUCUGUUUUUCAUUACACCCUUCUCAGUCCCAUCUCUUCCAUGUUCCUAGCCCUGUGUGUGCUGCUGUAGCUGCCAUACAGUGCUAUCAACACUGCUGUCCUGGGUGCUUUCUGGGCCCCAAGGACAUCCACAGCCCAGAUGUAGAGCUGGCCCAGAUGUGGAGCCAGCCUGAAUCUUCUGGGGCUCAUUAGCAGAAGUAGAACAUGGCUGGAAUAUGACAAUACAGAUGGCUUCACAGGACAAUCCUGGCUCUGAGAGCAGCUCAGUAACUGCUGCUCACUGGUGAGAAGCUGUUCUGUAUUAGUUCUGCUACUUGCAGAGUAUCUUCUUGCAGUUCCCUGUGUUUAUGAAAAGUUAAGGAUUCAAUAACUGGGCAGAGGAUUUGAAGCAAAUUUCACAAUAAAAGGACUGUGGUAGGGCAAAUCAUUAAUUUUCUUAUUGCUUUCAUUCUCUUUGGAGACAGCUUUCAUCCCAAGGCUUACGAUGAGACCACGGAGUCAGAAUUUUGUAAUGGAAGCAAUUUUGCAUCCCAACGUACAACAUUUGCUAUCAAAUGCUAAACCUGUCUAAUAGUUCAGUAGUUGGCAAUACAGCAUCCACCUCCUCCUCCUUGACAGAAAUGUAUAGUAACAGCAAGAAACACUGCAAAUCAACCCUAAUAUACUGAAACAGGACUUACUUUACCAGGAUUGGCACUUACUAUAGGCUUUCUGCUCCAUUUACACAGUACAAAAGACAACUGUGAAAUGACUGGAAAUGUAAUAUGGAAGAAUAUAAUUGGUUUUGCUGGAGAUAGAUGAUAGAUAAUCUUUUAUGAAAAGCAACCAUCAGAAACAAAGGUUGGAUUGUCUUCUCAGUUUCACCAAGGUAAAGCAACCUGAUUAUGAGAGCAGAGAAUACACCAGAUAUUUACUGUCCAGAGAGAUUAGGCUGAUAUAAAGCAAGUGUUUCAAGAGGUAAAUCUUUUGGAUGCUCCCACAGUCCUUGCCAGCUGGAAUUUGACAUGCACAUGUCUAACUGAGGUCCAGAAUUCUCACAAAGUACCUGAUUCUGAUGGAUUACUUGUGUUUUUCCAGCCAAUAAUUUCAGUGCUUAUUGCUUUGUUGUUCAAAUACAGAUUUCUGCUGUCCUAAGUAGAGGAACUGCCUGAACGUCUCAUGUGAGGUCCAUUCCUAGCAUCAAAACAAGGAACUUUGAGAUUCUAGGCAAAGACCUCCACUUUUGCUUUCUGGUCAUUUCAUUAAAGUUAGUUAAGUGACAGUCCCCUGCCUUUGCAAGAAUCCAGGGUUACAGGGCAUAGAGCCCAGGCAGCCUUGCCUGGCUGCCACACACCUGAAAUAUGCAGUUAAGACACUGGGAAGAAAAUGAUUUCUAUGCAGUGAGACACUGAGCCCUUUGUUCUGGGUCUUGAAGAAGCUCUGCUGUGAGCCAGAGGUCCUCAACAAGGCGAGUUACAGCAAAUAUUCUGGUCACCCCUCAGUCACUAGUUAUAGGCUAAGAAACACUUCACUGCCAAUUCCACAUGCCUGACCCCCCAAGAAACUUAGAGUCACAACAAACUAGGUGAAGAGUUACUUCUUCUCCAAAUAUUUUGGGCUUUUUUCCCCCCCAAAGUUCUGAUCCUAUAUAAGUUGUCUUUUCCUAUACCGGGAGAAACCACCACAAACUGCUAUGAACUCCAAGAGAAAACUGUUAUAAAUAAAAGGAAGAAUUGAAUAGCUUAGAAGUUCAGAAUAUUAGAAA